AACCCUAAAAAGUCCUCUAAACACAAAAGUUUGGUCCUAACUUUAAAGUCAACUCUUUCUUAACUUACACAUGCAAGUCUCCUCACCCCUGUGAGUAUCCCCUUUAACCCCACGCGGGAUAAGGAGCCGGUAUAAGGCACCUCAAUCUGCCCAAAACACCCAGCAAUAGCCACACCCACAAGGGACACAGCAGUGAUUAACAUUAGUAAUAAGUGCCAACUUGACCUAGUUAAAGAACACAAGGCCGGCAAAACUGGUGCCAGCCGCCGCGGUUACACCAGAGGCCCAAAUUGACUUUCACCGGCGUAAAGCGUGAUUAAAGCCACUAAUAAAUUAGAGUCAAACUCAAACUAAGUAGUAAUAUACUUGUUCCAUGAAGCUCACAGACGAAAGUUACCCUAUCCCUAACAACUUGAACCCACGAUAGCCAAGACACAAACUAGGAUCAGAUACCCUACUAUGCUUGGCCCUAAACUCUAAAUUACCCUAUCAU
rnacentral:rRNA from 1 species